rnacentral:tRNA from 1 species
CCUGGUUGCUAAGAUGGUAAAGAAUCUGCCUGCAAUGCAGGAGACCCAGGUUCAAUCCCUGGGCCAGAA